AAAAAGGGCAUCUGCUGUGUUUGGCACAGUGAGAGCAGGAACAUCUGCUUUUACUGCGGAAUCGCAAUCAAGAGAUUUCGGAUGCACAAUUUUUAUAAAAAGGGACUGCUGGUAACCGUGUGUUUCGGCGUCCCA